GUAUACGUAUGUGUGUAUGCAUAUGCGUAUGUGUAUGUGUAUUCCAAUAAACUUGCUUAUAUCUUUGGAAAUAUGUACGUACCAACUGUCAAAGCAUGUAUAUACUGGUGUCCAAGUUGAGCACAACAAUGACACUCCAUUCUAUUCAAUCUCAGUUAUUGAUACAGCGUUUGAUGAUCUAAUUCACCUAUUUUCUCUAUUGCGAUUUUGUCUUAUAUCUCUUGGUUAACAUUAAAAUUUGGAUGGGGGAAAAUGGUUUGUGGUUAGAUGGGUAUUUAUUAACCCAUAGUGCUCAACCACAUAAGUUAGACCUUUUAGUUACUUUAUUUUGCUCUAAUCCUGUCAAUUUUUUGGCUGACAUUUCACGUAAUUAAAGGUUUAUAUUUCCCACUAGGAAGUAUCUGGGAAAAGAAAAGGGGAAGGAAACAAGAGCCGAAAUCAAAACAAAGUGAAAGCUUUUGACUAAAUUUUGCAACUGCUACUUUGCUGCUUUGGAACCCUGAUUCUGGGAGGAACAAUACGCUUCAUUGCCUUCUUUAGUUUAGAUCAAGGUCUUAUUGCAAUGUUGUGAUCUGCUCUUCUUGCUGCCUUUAUCUAGGAAUCCGCAUCUAUUGCAUUUGAAUCAAGGAUUUGGGUUAAUAAAAUGGUGAAAGAGAUUGAUCGAAGCGAAUAACAAAUUCUAGAAGGCGAUUUGGUAAAAAAAUUUAAGGGAACUGAUUAAGGCUCGAAACGAUGAAAAGAAUGAAGGAACGAUAGUGAAAUGUUUCGAUACUGCCCCAGGACCCAGUACAAAGAAAUCAGUGAAAAUAGAAAAAACAAGGUUCGGUUUGCGUGUUUAUGGUAAGGGCCCAAACCGAAACAAAUUGGUGGUGCACACUCUCUACUCACCUUAUAUAUCCCUUUGUCAUUCAUUAUUAUGUUGAAUUUAUUUAGAUAAAUGUUUCUUAUUCAUCCAAUUACGAUUAGUACACUGAUUUCCCGCAGUAUAGCGCGGGCUUAUUUUCUA